UCUGCACUCAUCACUGCUCUAACAUGUGUGAGUGGUGUGACGGUGGUGACACAGAAACCUGUUGUAUCAGUGAUGAGAGGAGAGACAGCCACCAUGGACUGUAACCUGGGGACUGUUACUAACACUGUUUAUUGGUACAAACAGAUUCCAGGAGGAGUUCCUCAGUAUGUGCUGUAUUUUCAUCAUAGCUCUAGUUCCCCAUUCUAUGGCUCUGGGUUCUCCGCUCCAAAAUUCACAUCCACUCAUCAGUCAACAACUGAUUAUCGUUUGAUCAUCAGCAAUGUGGAGGAGGGAGACUCUGCAGUGUAUUACUGUAAAACAUUGGACAGCUCUGUGUCCUUCUAUGUAUUUUCAGGCUCCAGCCUCCCUGCUCCUGUCCUCACAGUCUUCCCUCCGUCCAGUGCUGAGCUCCAGUCCAACAAAGCCACUCUGGUCUGUCUGUCCAGUCAGUCUGUGCAAUUUGCAGAUGUGACCUGGUCGGCUGCUGGGAGUCCAGUGAGCAGUGGGGUCUCUACCAGCACUGCUGUUCAGAGACCAGACCACACUUUCCAAAUCAGCAGCUAA